GCCUGGGUGGCUCAAUCAGUUGAGCGUCCGACUUUGGCUCAGGUCAUGAUCUCGUGGUCUGUGGGUUCAAGCCCCACGUCGGGCU
rfam:Felis catus isolate Cinnamon breed Abyssinian chromosome E1, whole genome shotgun sequence.